AUUGAACGCUGGCGGCAUGCUUUACACAUGCAAGUCGAACGGUAACAGGCCUUCGGGUGCUGACGAGUGGCGAACGGGUGAGUAAUGCAUCGGAACGUGCCCAAUCGUGGGGGAUAACGUAGCGAAAGUUACGCUAAUACCGCAUACGACCUACGGGUGAAAGUGGGGGACCUUCGGGCCUCACGCGAUGAGAUGAGCCGAUGCCGGAUUAGCUAGUUGGCGGGGUAAAGGCCCACCAAGGCGACGAUCCGUAGCUGGUCUGAGAGGAUGAUCAGCCACACUGGAACUGAGACACGGUCCAGACUCCUACGGGAGGCAGCAGUGGGGAAUAUUGGACAAGUGGGGGCAACCCUGAUCCAGCCAUGCCGCGUGUGUGAAG
rnacentral:rRNA from 1 species